GUACUGCUGAGGAGGCCCAUAAUAGAACGAAACGGCCGUCCAGUGU
rnacentral:hammerhead_ribozyme from 1 species